rnacentral:rRNA from 1 species
CACGUAGGGGGCAAGCGUUGUCCGGAUUUAUUGGGCGUAAAGAGCUCGUAGGCGGUUCGGUAAGUCGGGUGUGAAACCUCCAGGCUCAACCUGGAGACGCCACCCGAUACUGCUGUGACUAGAGUCCGGUAGGGGAGCGUGGAAUUCCUGGUGUAGCGGUGAAAUGCGCAGAUAUCAGGAGGAACACCAGCGGCGAAGGCGGCGCUCUGGGCCGGAACUAACGCUGAGGAGCGAAAGCGUGGGGAGCAAACAGG